rnacentral:rRNA from 1 species
UUAUGAGAGUUUGAUCCUGGCUCAGGACGAACGCUGGCGGCGUGCCUAAUACAUGCAAGUCGAACGCUUCUUUUUCCACCGGAGCUUGCUCCACCGGAAAAAGAAGAGUGGCGAACGGGUGAGUAACACGUGGGUAACCUGCCCAUCAGAAGGGGAUAACACUUGGAAACAGGUGCUAAUACCGUAUAACAAUCAAAACCGCAUGGUUUUGAUUUGAAAGGCGCUUUCGGGUGUCGCUGAUGGAUGGACCCGCGGUGCAUUAGCUAGUUGGUGAGGUAACGGCUCACCAAGGCCACGAUGCAUAGCCGACCUGAGAGGGUGAUCGGCCACAUUGGGACUGAGACACGGCCCAAACUCCUACGGGAGGCAGCAGUAGGGAAUCUUCGGCAAUGGACGAAAGUCUGACCGAGCAACGCCGCGUGAGUGAAGAAGGUUUUCGGAUCGUAAAACUCUGUUGUUAGAGAAGAACAAGGAUGAGAGUAACUGUUCAUCCCUUGACGGUAUCUAACCAGAAAGCCACGGCUAACUACGUGCCAGCAGCCGCGGUAAUACGUAGGUGGCAAGCGUUGUCCGGAUUUAUUGGGCGUAAAGCGAGCGCAGGCGGAUGGAUUGAAGAAAGAAGCCUUAGGAGGGAUUUAAGUGGAACACACAUGGAAAAUGGGAGACUUGAGUGCAGAAGAGGAGAGUGGAAUUCCAUGUGUAGCGGUGAAAUGCGUAGAUAUAUGGAGGAACACCAGUGGCGAAGGCGGCUCUCUGGUCUGUAACUGACGCUGAGGCUCGAAAGCGUGGGGAGCAAACAGGAUUAGAUACCCUGGUAGUCCACGCCGUAAACGAUGAGUGCUAAGUGUUGGAGGGUUUCCGCCCUUCAGUGCUGCAGCUAACGCAUUAAGCACGCCGC